CUUUAUGAUUUUUUUUUUCCUUGAAAAAAAUUCAAUUCCACCCUCAUUUAAAAUAAACAUCUACCCAGUUGGAGAGAGAAAUUGUGAAAAUAUUUGUGUCCUGUGGAAAACAAGGAUUUUGAUGAGUCAGGAGAUGGGGAAGGCACAUCCUUUCAUGUUGUAUGAACAAGGAUCUAGAUUGAAUGCAGUUUGUUUAGCAUCACUUUAGUUUGAUCCAGGAGAAAUGGUUUUGUUAUGUUUAGUGAGAUAUUGUGCGAGGAACUGUGUUUGGUGUGGUAACACUUGGCAAACUAGAACUUUUUAAGGACGAAACGACUUAUUUUCACUUCAGUGCAGUUUUACGAUGCCACAACUACAGGGUUUAAAGGGAGUUCUAAAAAAACAUAACCUGGAAGCAAAUGUUACUGCUACUUGGGUUUGUGUUAGUUUAAUCUGGGAGACAUGUUUUGCAUUUGCACGCGAACAUAGGCAUUUGUGAUAAAAGAUAAUAAAUUUGUUUUAUAUAUAGCAGACUUGUUUGGUAUUGUUGUUGAAACUGCUGUUGAGAAAA
rnacentral:misc_RNA from 1 species